GCCUGCAGCUCAACUGUGGAACUGCCAUUGAUACUGCUUUUCUUGAGUUUGGUUGAGGUAGNCGGAAUGUGUAAUGUAGCGGUGAAAUGCUUAGAUAUUACACAGAACACCGAUUGCGAAGGCAGCUUACUAAACCGAUACUGACGCUGAUGCACGAAAGCGUGGGGAGCGAACAGGAUUAGAUACCCUGGUAGUCCACGCUGUAAACUAUGAUCACUCGCUGUUGGCAAUACAUCGUCAGCGGCUGAGCGAAAGCAUUAAGUGAUCCACCUGGGGAGUACGGUCGCAAGAUUGAAACUCAAAGGAAUUGACGGGGGCCCGCACAAGCGGUGGAACAUGUGGUUUAAUUCGAUGAUACGCGAGGAACCUUACCUGGGCUUAAAUGUAGACUGCAUUUCCGGGAAACCGGAAUUUCCUUCGGGACCGUCUACAAGGUGCUGCAUGGUUGUCGUCAGCUCGUGCCGUGAGGUGUCGGGUUAAGUCCCAUAACGAGCGCAACCCCUAUCGUUAGUUGCCAGCGAGUAAUGUCGGGGACUCUAGCGAAACUGCCGGUGUAAACCGAGAGGAAGGUGGGGAUGACGUCAAAUCAGCACGGCCCUUAUGUCCAGGGCUACACACGUGUUACAAUGGUCAGUACAAAGGGCAGCUACCUGGUGACAGGAUGCUAAUCUCGAAAACUGGUCUCAGUUCGGAUUGGAGUCUGCAAUUCGACUCCAUGAAGCUGGAAUCGCUAGUAAUCGCGCAUCAGCAACGGCGCGGUGAAUACGUUCCCGGGCCUUGUACACACCGCCCGUCAAGCCAUGGAAGCUGGGGGUGCAUGAAGUCCGUAACCGAAAGGAUCGGC
rnacentral:rRNA from 1 species